rnacentral:rRNA from 1 species
UACGUAGGCAGCAAGCGUUGUUCGGAGUUACUGGGCGUAAAGCGUGCGCAGGCGGUUUUGUAAGUCUGACGUGAAAUCCCCGGGCUCAACCUGGGAAUUGCGUUGGAGACUGCAAGGCUGGAAUCUGGCAGAGGGGGGUAGAAUUCCACGUGUAGCAGUGAAAUGCGUAGAGAUCGGGAGGAACAUCUGAGGCGAAGGCGGCGACCUGGACAGUGACUGACACUCAACUACGAAAGCGUGGGGAUCAAACAGG